GUGCCUCAUUUGACUUAUCUGUAGCUUAUUGUGUUGUUAUAGAGGUGCCAUUCCAGUGAGAUUUCCACAAAGAGAAGUGUCAAGAUAAAAACAGAUGCACCAUGUACCCUUCCAACCUCAACACCAGUACAACCAAGGUCAAGUAAAACAUCCAGGUUAGAGGAGGAAGAGGACAGCAUCACAACACCACCUGACCCCUUGAUAUCUGGCAUUUGGAGAAAGAGCACAUCACAGUCGUCUGUGUGGCACCCCCUCGCUGCACGCCAACACCCAAACCAAGCCACCUCCACCACCGGUCAGAUUAUCUCGCUGAAGAUGUGUACAGUACGCUCCUGCCUGCAUCCUACCACCACAAGUUCACCCCAGAGGAUCUGCUGUCGACAACCAUUGUGAUAUCGUUGCAAUUAUGAAACACACUUAAUAAAUGCUAAUACAUCACAUCACA